AUUGACCGCUGGCGGCAGGCCUAACACAUGCAAGUCGAGCGGAGCGGCGGAAGGGAAAGGGAUGCCUAGGAAUCUGACUGGUAGUGGGGGAUACGGUCAGGAAACGGGCGCUAAUACCGACUACUAUCAGCUGAGCAUAGGUCGGAUUGGCUAUUUGGUGGGGUAAGGGCCGACAAAGGCGACGAUCCCUAACCGGUCUGAGAGGAUGAUCAGUCACACUGUAACUGAGACCCGGUCCAGCCUCCUACGGGAGGCAGCAGUGGGGAAUAUUGGACAAUGGGCGAAAGCCUGAUCCAGCCAUGCCGCGUGUGUGAAGAAGGUCUUCGGAUUGUAAAGUACUUUAAGUUGGGAGGCGUUACCAACAGAAUAAGCACCGGCUAACUCCGUGCCAGCAGCCGCGGUAAUAC
rnacentral:rRNA from 1 species